rnacentral:rRNA from 1 species
AGGCGGAACGGUCAGUGUCUUGUGAAAUCCCUCGGCUCAACCGUGGAAUUGCAGGGCAUACUGCCGUUCUUGAGGCCGGUAGAGGUCGUCGGAACUGUAGAUGUAGCGGUGAAGUGCGUAGAUAUCUACAGGAACGCCAAAGACGAAGGUAGACGACUGGGCCGGUUCUGACGCUCAGGCACGAAAGCGUGGGGAGCAAACAGGAUUAGAUACCCUGGUAGUCCACGCCGUAAACGAUGCGCACUAGAUUCGGGAGGUUCUGACACCAUCCGGGUCGAAGCAAAAGUGUUAAGCGCGCCGCCUGGGGAGUACGGUCGCAAGAUUAAAACUCAAAGGAAUUGACGGGGGCUCACACAAGCGGUGGAGCAUGUGGCUUAAUUCGAAGCAACGCGAAGAACCUUAUCCUGGGUUUGACAUGCACGGAUGCCCUCGGUGAAAGCCGAGUAAGCUGCCCUCGUGGUGAAACGUGCACAGGUGCUGCAUGGCUGUCGUCAGCUCGUGCUGUGAAGUGUUGGGUUAAGUCCCUUAACGAGCGAAACCCUUGUCGUUAGUUGCCAGCGCGCCUUCGGGUGGCGGGGACUCUAACGAGACUGCCGGUGUCAAACCGGAGGAAGGCGGGGAUGACGUCAAGUCCUCAUGGCCUUUAUGCCCAGGGCUGCACACGUGCUACAAUGGCGCGAACAGAGCGAAGCAAUACCGCAAGGUGGAGCAAAUCGCACAAAUCGUGCCCCAGUUCAGAUUGGGGUCUGCAACUCGACCCCAUGAAGGUGGAAUCGCUA